rnacentral:rRNA from 1 species
GAUGAACGCUGGCGGCGUGCCUAAUACAUGCAAGUCGAGCGAACAGACGAGGAGCUUGCUCCUCUGACGUUAGCGGCGGACGGGUGAGUAACACGUGGAUAACCUACCUAUAAGACUGGGAUAACUUCGGGAAACCGGAGCUAAUACCGGAUAAUAUAUAGAACCGCAUGGUUCAAUAGUGAAAGACGGUUUUGCUGUCACUUAUAGAUGGAUCCGCGCCGCAUUAGCUAGUUGGCAAGGUAACGGCUUACCAAGGCAACGAUGCGUAGCCGACCUGAGAGGGUGAUCGGCCACACUGGAACUGAGACACGGUCCAGACUCCUACGGGAGGCAGCAGUAGGGAAUCUUCCGCAAUGGGCGAAAGCCUGACGGAGCAACGCCGCGUGAGUGAUGAAGGUCUUCGGAUCGUAAAACUCUGUUAUUAGGGAAGAACAAAUGUGUAAGUAACUAUGCACGUCUUGACGGUACCUAAUCAGAAAGCCACGGCUAACUACGUG